CGAGCAUGAGGACCAGGGGGGGCAGCACCCAGCCGAAGAAAUUGAAGUAGACCAUGUAAUCCAUGCUGAUGACUGUCUCAAACUGGCACUUCACCACCAGGUCGGUGCUGACGAGGGAACCGUUGUCACUGUGAUGUUGCUGCUGUUGUGACUGGAGCGAAAGAAAACCGGCACGAGGUCACUAAUGGCGCCAUCUGCAUCAUCCCAUGGAAUGGAAUGUGGAAGGUGAUUUGGCGACAAGGUGCAAUUCCAGGCUGAGCUUCAAAGCUCAUUGUGAUGCAGCCUGCAACAUCCCCGGACCACAACAGAAUUCUUCCUGACUGCUGGACUGACCUCUAUGUACCAGAUGUCCUUUGUUGGAGGACUCACCGAAAUGUCAUCAACGAAAUGUCCCUUUGAGGACGAGCCAACAGCUGAUAAGCUGAGUGCAUUUUUGACAUUCACCAUAUUGCUGUCUCACAGCCUCAUAAACUUCACUAUAAUGAUCCUUAUUAGGUUAUUUCACAUUUAAAAGAGCCUCAAGGAGCCCGUUCAAUGAAGAAGAAAGAAUUAUACGGUGUCACGUGAUUCCCUCCAGCAGCAGCAGUUGUAAAUUUUAUGGCUUCCAGAGGUGAUGUCUUUAAAAGGCAAAGCUGCAGCAGGAAGUUUCACAGAAAUACAAAACAUCCCACCCUUUAAAAUUGUGACAAAUUCCAGUUUCUUUCAAUUCCUGACAUCAGUUUGAAACAUUGUCUGCCUAGUGAUGCAGAAAGUCCCAGUGAGCGCUCGUCUCCGGGGGAAGCAGUCCAAGACGGCCUCUGCCGUCUUGUCCCGGCUUCACCCGAGUUCAUUGCCUCGACUGUGACUAAUCGAAUCGACCCAUCUCAGUGACUGACUGGGCUAACGUUUAAUUGACACUCAGGAUAUGCCACAAGAUGAUGGAACAGAAUUGUUAUCAUGUAACAGAAAAUCACUUGGCUUGUGACCAGACAGUUAAAGUCAGUUGGCUAAUUGCAGGUGCAACUUUACAUCAUCCACACGUGGAGCUCUUUCUUCUAAAUGUACUUUGCAUGUGCUGAUCUCCUGCAUGGACUCCAGUUGGUCUAAAGUUCAAGUCACCAGAUUGUCUAGCGCGCCGGGGGAUGUACAAUAGAAAACGCUCAUCUCUGAUGACCUCUAAGAAGGAAAGGAGAGGAGGCACAAUCACCACAACACCCAAAACCAUUCAAGCUGUUCUGCUGCAGUGAACCUUGUCGCUCAACUUUGGCCAAAGCUGCAAGCUUGUUAGUGAGCAUGCUCUUUUAUGAAGCUUCUGUCCUAAUGAGGUUCAAUAGACUCUGUGUCCAAUGAACCAUGACUCCCACAUUCUCCUCCCCAAUUUUUUUGAAUCACGCCACAUCAAGUAGAAUAUAUGUUGAGGUUAAUAAAAGUUGUGUGACGACCAAAGCACGUCGUUUUUAGUUUGUUUUAUACAUCAGAUAAAAAAAAAAAUAGGUUAGGGUUUUGAAGUAAGUUUUUAAACUCGGGUUAGAUGAUGAGGAGAUAAGUUAUUAGAUGAUGUCAAUGUCCGUAAAACAUUAUGAUGGCAGGAGUGUCAAGGUGCGGGCUGGAGUGCAGAGGUGGGAUUUGACAGAUGAAGCAAAGAAAGUGAGAGUUAGAUGUUUUUACUUUUUCAAAUCAGUGGAUAAAACUACUUAGAAGUAUAAAAACAAAAAUAGAAGGAAAAAAAACAAUCCAAGGAUUUCCUUUUUCCGAAAGCCAAGGGGUUAAAUGAGGGGUGUGUUGAUAUUUGUUCCGAGUUGUGUAAUCCCAUUAACGACCUAUUCGUUUUGUCGUACUCAUAAUCCUUUACAAGGAGAUUAAUGUUGCAAUUAGUCGACAUGGCAAAUUUAAUUAGUACAAAACUAAAAUCUAUUUCCAGCACCACAGGCUUUGGG